AUCCAGCUGACGAGUCCCAAAUAGGACGAAAUGCGCAUUAUCCUGCU
rnacentral:hammerhead_ribozyme from 1 species